rnacentral:rRNA from 1 species
UAGCAUACCCUUGUCCCAAAAAUUAACCCAUGCAUGUCUAAGUAAAAAAAUUUCUAUAUUGGAAGCUGCAAAUGGCUCAUUAUAUCAGUUAUAGUUUAUUUGAUGAUCCCCCUAUAUGGAUAACCGUAGUAAUUCUAGAGCUAAUACAUGCCCCUAACCCCCACUCACAAAGGGGUGGGUUUAUUAAAUUGAAACCAAUGCAAGUUUACUCGGAUUUAUGGUGAUUCAUAAAAACUUUCAAAUCGGCUCUGCCGAUCCUUCAUUCAGGUUCCUGCCCUAUCAGUUCUGGAUGGAAGGGUAUUGGCCUACCAGGGCUUUACCGGGUAACGAAAAAUUAGGGUUCGAUUCCGGAGAGGGAGCCUGAGAAACGGCUACCACAUCCAAGGAAGGCACCAGGCGCGAAAAUUACCCAAUCCUGACACAGGGAGGUAGGGACAAUAAAUAACAUGGCAGGGCUUUUCUAAGUCUGGCCCUCGGAAGGAGAACAAUUUAAACCCCUUAUCUAGGAUCACUUGAAGGGCAAUCCUGGU